UUGAGGGAUUCCUGAGGACAUCUAGGAAAAGGGGGAGUCUGCAUCCACGUCUUAGCGCAGUCUGAUAUGAUUCGUCUUUUUCCGGUGUGACAAAUGCAAGCUUUAGUUGGAUAAACUUGCUAUUUCUCUCCAACAAUUGUCCUUACAAAUUUCUGCCAUUUACUGUGAGUAUGGAAAGAGCAAGCUUGGAAUACUGAAGAGAAACCUGGAGUGGUGGAGGUGUCCUUCUGAGUUGACUGGGAGAGAUGAAAGGAAGUAUUUUAUUUCCACCGAGCACAAAAGCCUCAAGAUCAGACUAACUCCUGUGACCUUGACCCAUCCUGUCACCUUUAAAUGGGCUUACAGAACAGUGAGUUUGCAUAGGAUUGAAAGUUGCUUACUUCAAAC
rnacentral:lncRNA from 1 species